rnacentral:rRNA from 1 species
ACGAACGCUGGCGGCGUGCCUAAUACAUGCAAGUCGAGCGGACAGAUGGGAGCUUGCUCCCUGAUGUUAGCGGCGGACGGGUGAGUAACACGUGGGUAACCUGCCUGUAAGACUGGGAUAACUCCGGGAAACCGGGGCUAAUACCGGAUGGUUGUUUGAACCGCAUGGUUCAAACAUAAAAGGUGGCUUCGGCUACCACUUACAGAUGGACCCGCGGCGCAUUAGCUAGUUGGUGAGGUAACGGCUCACCAAGGCGACGAUGCGUAGCCGACCUGAGAGGGUGAUCGGCCACACUGGGACUGAGACACGGCCCAGACUCCUACGGGAGGCAGCAGUAGGGAAUCUUCCGCAAUGGACGAAAGUCUGACGGAGCAACGCCGCGUGAGUGAUGAAGGUUUUCGGAUCGUAAAGCUCUGUUGUUAGGGAAGAACAAGUACCGUUCGAAUAGGGCGGUACCUUGACGGUACCUAACCAGAAAGCCACGGCUAACUACGUGCCAGCAGCCGCGGUAAUACGUAGGUGGCAAGCGUUGUCCGGAAUUAUUGGGCGUAAAGGGCUCGCAGGCGGUUUCUUAAGUCUGAUGUGAAAGCCCCCGGCUCAACCGGGGAGGGUCAUUGGAAACUGGGGAACUUGAGUGCAGAAGAGGAGAGUGGAAUUCCACGUGUAGCGGUGAAAUGCGUAGAGAUGUGGAGGAACACCAGUGGCGAAGGCGACUCUCUGGUCUGUAACUGACGCUGAGAGCGAAAGCGUGGGGAGCGAACAGGAUUAGAUACCCUGGUAGUCCACGCCGUAAACGAUGAGUGCUAAGUGUUAGGGGGUUUCCGCCCCUUAGUGCUGCAGCUAACGCAUUAAGCACUCCGCCUGGGGAGUACGGUCGCAAGACUGAAACUCAAAGGAAUUGACGGGGGCCCGCACAAGCGGUGGAGCAUGUGGUUUAAUUCGAAGCAACGCGAAGAACCUUACCAGGUCUUGACAUCCUCUGACAAUCCUAGAGAUAGGACGUCCCCUUCGGGGGCAGAGUGACAGGUGGUGCAUGGUUGUCGUCAGCUCGUGUCGUGAGAUGUUGGGUUAAGUCCCGCAACGAGCGCAACCCUUGAUCUUAGUUGCCAGCAUUCAGUUGGGCACUCUAAGGUGACUGCCGGUGACAAACCGGAGGAAGGUGGGGAUGACGUCAAAUCAUCAUGCCCCUUAUGACCUGGGCUACACACGUGCUACAAUGGACAGAACAAAGGGCAGCGAAACCGCGAGGUUAAGCCAAUCCCACAAAUCUGUUCUCAGUUCGGAUCGCAGUCUGCAACUCGACUGCGUGAAGCUGGAAUCGCUAGUAAUCGCGGAUCA